ensembl:lncRNA LINC01206 long intergenic non-protein coding RNA 1206
CCUUAUACUCCUGAGAAUUUGUGGCAGUCCUGGGUUAAACGAUGAAGGCUUCUUAUUCUCAUGCAGCUUCCUGUGUCCCUGUCCUUUGGAAAAUGCUGCCUCCUGGUCUGCUUGUGUGGAGAAAGAAUGAGGAAGACAAGGAAAUUAAGGAAGGACCCCUCAUUAUGGGCCUCAGAGUAUGUCAGCUGGGGUCAGACGGGAACAGGAGUCUGGCUCAACACACAUUUAUUGCACUCCUGUUUCAUGCCAAGAAAUGUACCAAAAUCUGGGACUGUGUAACACAGCAAAGGAAAAGACUCAUCUCCAGGAAGCCCCCUUGUCUAGGAAGAGAAAUUGAAUAUCAGCAUAAGGUGGUGAAAAGCUGUGAAGGAGAUGAGUGCCAGGAGUCCAUGGAGGAAGGAUUCUAGCCUGGACAGGUGAGGAAUGGCUUUCUGGAAGAAGCAGAUGCCCCAGCUGAACUUUAAAAUGCCCAUGUGAAAUGAACUGUCUGUAUCUUCAAUCAGCAAAUGGAGUAGGUGGCCACUGUUUAAUUCUGGAAUGGGGAAGUGUAAAGGUGUGGUGUGUGUGUUUACCCCUACUUAGGGAUUCAAAACAGACAGUAAAGAACAAAAGUCUAGCCCUUUGAGCAUUCUCCAUGGGACAUUUGAGGUCUAGCUGGCCCCAGAGAAAGAGAGACAGAAGCAAGGUCAUAUCCAUUUGAGAAAAUCAAAGUGUCUGCUCCAAUUGAGUCUGGUGUCCUUAUUCCUGGAAUAGCCAUCCCUACUGCUCUGGUGCUGAUUUACCUCCGGCAGUUCAGUGCUUCCUGGAAGGUAGGCUGGGC